rnacentral:rRNA from 1 species
UACGUAGGGUGCAAGCGUUGUCCGGAAUUAUUGGGCGUAAAGAGCUCGUAGGCGGUUUGUCGCGUCUGCUGUGAAAACGCGAGGCUCAACCUCGCGCCUGCAGUGGGUACGGGCAGACUAGAGUGCGGUAGGGGAGAUUGGAAUUCCUGGUGUAGCGGUGGAAUGCGCAGAUAUCAGGAGGAACACCGAUGGCGAAGGCAGAUCUCUGGGCCGUA